GCAGCUGACCGGAAAUCAGCAGCCACACGCGUCUUCUUCCUCCGGCGUUUCUUGCCGCCAAGCAACCACCGCCUGAUAUCCUCCCCGCGCCCCAUUCUUGUCCGCUUCCCGCCGUGCGUGAGGCCUCCACGCAUCCCCCCUUGGCCGGAUUCUUUUCCUUUCACGGCCCCCUUCCUCCCACCGCCUACGAGAGGAGGGGGAGAGCGCGCGCCGGCUGCCACGCACAUACAGAGUAAAGAAAGUGGCUAUCGUCCAUGGCCCCCGCCGC
rnacentral:lncRNA from 1 species